CCUACGGGAGGCUGCAGUGGGGAAUCUUGCACAAUGGGGGAAACCCUGAUGCAGCGACGCCGCGUGAGUGAAGAAGUAUUUCGGUACGUAAAGCUCUAUCAGCAGGGAAGAAAAUGACGGUACCUGACUAAGAAGCCCCGGCUAACUACGUGUCAGCAGCCGCGGUAAUACGUAGGGGGCAAGCGUUCUCCGGAUUUACUGGGUGUAAAGGGAGCGUAGACGGCAGCGCAAGUCUGGAGUGAAAUCCCAUGGCUUAACCAUGGAACUGCUUUGGAAACUGUGCAGCUAGAGUGCAGGAGAGGUAAGCGGAAUUCCUAGUGUAGCGGUGAAAUGCGUAGAUAUUAGGAGGAACACCAGUGGCGAAGGCGGCUUACUGGACUGUAACUGACGUUGAGGCUCGAAAGCGUGGGGAGCAAACAGGAUUAGAUACCCUUGUAGUC
rnacentral:rRNA from 1 species